rfam:Homo sapiens chromosome 1, GRCh38 reference primary assembly.
GGUUCCAUGGUGUAAUGGUAAGCACUCUGGACUCUGAAUCCAGCCAUCUGAGUUCGAGUCUCUGUGGAACCU